UAUUAUGGGAUACACGUUUUUAAACAUCCUUUUGUGUGUAAGUGUGCAUUAGUACAUGCUAACGAUAUUCAAAAAGUACGUACCUCAAAGAAAACGAUGACGCGAGUUAUCGUCUCUAACGUUCGAGGACUACAAAAAACACUCGGAUUGUAGGCAACAGUUUACUUCCUGGGAUUAGUGACGUAGAUAAGACCAACAUUAUCAUAGUUCAGCCCUCUCUGCUUUGCUUGGGUACGCCCUCAAAGACGGGGGUGGGGAGCGCCGAGUCAGAAGAGAGCUAAAAUGGCGGAGGUUGUGAGUCCCUGCUAUGACUCUGUUUGCAAACUCUUGUUUCAUUGUUUAAGCGAUUAAAUCUCUCGAGUAGACGCUGUCUCUUUAGAUGCGUGGGAAAAAUAGCACUUUAUGGACUUACACAGAGGACAUCAUGUUUAAUACGGUUCCGGAAAAAUCCAGUCAGAAGUUGUUCACGGAGUUUUCACAAUAACUGCUUCUCAUCAUGAACCGAAGCUGGAUUUGCGCGACGUCUCCUCUUGAAAGUUGGAUUACUGUGCACUUCUGGAUCACAGGCUAUUCGCAGCUGUACACAUCCUUCUACACUGUAUGCAAACAUGCAACAUCAUUACACACAGUACAAGGAGUCAGCCUGGCAAAUGAGGAGCAAAGGAACCCAGGCAGUAGCAUCGUUUCACAAUGUUUCCAUCACCAUCAUCAGUGGAUGCCUUUGCCGUCUGUAGCCUGAGAUUUCAGAUUUGCAGCAAAAAAAAAUUGAUUUUCUCAUUUAUUGGAAUGCUGUGCAGGUCACCAAGCCGUAACAAAAGCAGGAGAGGGAAAGUACAAGGCUAUGUUCCCAAAACACACAAGUGACAUACCUUAUGUGGAUGAUGUGAUCAGGCUUGUGUUUGAUGAGGUAUUUGAAGAUAAGCUGAAGGAAACCCCGAUUCCAAUGGACCUGGCAUCACAGUUUGAGAGACCUUCAAAGGAGGACGUGAUUGCAUGCCAUCUUCAGUGCAGGGGUCGUCGAAAGCCAAAAUUGUGACCGAUCUGAUCAGGAAGCUCCAAGCGUAUCUGGAGAACAACACACGACAGGAUGAUAACCUUAUAGUGUCGUCUUAAAUAGCACCAGCUGAUAAAGCUUUGAUAUGCCAUUUAUCUGAAUAGAUAGCUGUAAGAAAUGAAUUGAACAAUUUUUGAAACAAGAGCACAAUAUGGUUACUAAAGUAUGUUUAUUUGUAUAUUGUUUAACAUUUAAAUAUAUAUUUGUAAUAAAUAAAAAAAACUUUUGACUGACUAUUAUAUUUUCUUUAAAGUUGCAUCUUUUGUUCUUUUGGGUACUUUGUUACUAUAAUGAUACUUUAGUGUUAUUGGUUUAAAAAUGUAAUAAAACUUACUCUAGUCCUGCACC